rnacentral:rRNA from 1 species
GACGAACGCUGGCGGCGUGCUUAACACAUGCAAGUCGAACGGAAAGGCCCCUUCGGGGGUACUCGAGUGGCGAACGGGUGAGUAACACGUGAGUAACCUGCCCUUGACUUCGGGAUAACUUCAGGAAACUGGGGCUAAUACCGGAUAGGAAUCCUUGCUGCAUGGUGGGGGUUGGAAAGCUUCGGCGGUUUUGGAUGGACUCGCGGCUUAUCAGCUUGUUGGUGGGGCAGUGGCUUACCAAGGCUUUGACGGGUAGCCGGCCUGAGAGGGCGACCGGCCACAUUGGGACUGAGAUACGGCCCAGACUCCUACGGGAGGCAGCAGUGGGGAAUAUUGCACAAUGGGCGGAAGCCUGAUGCAGCAACGCCGCGUGCGGGAGGACGGCCUUCGGGUUGUAAACCGCUUUCAGCAGGGGCGAAGCUUGUGGUGACGGUACCUGCAGAAGAAGCACCGGCUAACUACGUG